GCCGGGGUAGCCAAGUGGACUACGGCGCCAGCCUUGAGAGCUGGUUCCCUGUAUUGGGAGCGGGAGUUCGAAUCUCCCCCCCGGCG
rfam:Aciduliprofundum boonei T469, complete genome.